GAGUGGGGGAUAACGUUUCUAACGAGACGCUAAUACCGCAUGACACCGGUUGUAGGCAUCUAUGACCGGUCAAAGGUGGCCUCUGUUUCAAGCUGUCGCUUGAGGAUGGCCCCGCGUCCGAUUAGCUAGAUGGUGGGGUAACGGCCUACCAUGGCGACGAUCGGUAGCCGGCCUGAGAGGGUGUCCGGCCUCACUGGGACUGAGAUACGGCCCAGACUCCUACGGGAGGCAGCAGUCGAGAGGCUUCCGCAAUGGGGGAAACCCUGACGGAGCGACGCCGCGUGGGUGAGGAAGGUCUUCGGAUCGUAAAACCCUGUCAGGAGGGACGAAAACCGGAUUGGCUAAUACCCUUUCCGCUUGACGGUACCUCCAGAGGAAGCUCCGGCUAACUCCGUGCCAGCAGCCGCGGUAACACGGAGGGAGCAAACGUUGUUCGGAAUUACUGGGCGUAAAGGGCGUGUAGGCGGUUCUCUAAGUCGGGGGUGAAAUCCAGUGGCUCAACCAUUGGCCUGCCUUCGAAACUGGGGAACUUGAGGCCGUGAGAGGAAAGCGGAAUUCCUGGUGUAUCGGUGAAAUGAGUUGAUAUCAGGAGGAACACCAGUGGCGAAGGCGGCUUUCUGGCGCGGUUCUGACGCUGAGGCGCGAAAGCAUGGGGAGCAAACGGGAUUAGAUACCCCGGUAGUCCAUGCUGUAAACGAUGAGAACUAGGUGUCGGGGGUAUCGACCCCCUCGGCGCCGCAGCUAACGCA
rnacentral:rRNA from 1 species